GGGGGUGUAGUUCAGUGGUAAAGCGUUCGCUUCGCAUGUGAAAAGCCCGGGGUUCGAUCUCCCGCACCUCCA